AAGACACUUAAAGUUACUGUUGAAACGUUUUAUUGUUGCAAAGGUAUUGUGGAGCCUUUAUUUUGAAAGCAACCUAGUAACAGGAAGCAGGAAGUAACAGUGUAAACACAACGAGAGAAGACAUGAUGGCGUGUUUGUAUCACCUCAUGGCUGUUAAUCCUUGAGUAAUCCUUUGUGUGUAUCCCUCAGAAAGCAAUGACUUUUCACUCCGAUUCAAUGCUGUCAUCCUGACUUACCUGCUGUUUAAGAAGUCAAUAAAGAAGCAUGCAUGCAUUGUAUCUGAUUUUUUCCCAACAAUAUCAUAACUGAUUCGGAAAGCACUCGUGCUCCUGCUCUUCUGGUUGUUGUAUUUUCAGUGUUUUUUUUUAAUGUGGAGAGGGAGAGAUGGAGGGAGGGAUGGAGGAUGGUUUUACUGUAUGAUGGUCCGAUGAUGGAAAUUGUCUGUAAAAAAAAUAAAGAAAGAAACGAUUGUUAAAAGGAAGAUUAUCAUUCACUGAGCAACACAUGGGUGUUGUUCUCUAGAGUUGUGCUGUCCCACAUCUUGGGGAUAGCAACCCUCUGAGAAGUAAGACUCAAGUAACCAGACAUGACACGUGUGUGUGUGUGUGUGUGUGUGUGUGUGUGUGUGUGUGUGUGUGUGUGUGUGUGUGUGUGUGUGUGUGUGUGUGUGUGUGUGUGUGUGUGGUAGAGUGUGUGUCUGUUCAGCUGCCUCAAGGUGUGUGCGAACCAAUCAGCAGGGCAGAAGAUUAAUGGGUGUGAGUCUGGUUUUGUGUGUGUGUGUGUGUGUGUGUGUGUGUUUGUGUGCAUUUGGAAAGAAACACUAUUACCGAUCUUCAGCACUUGUCUCAUUAACAGACGUGUUCCUGAAUCAUGGCAAGGAGCACUAAUUCAUAGAAUACCCACGAACAAUAAUGUGCCCAAUGACCCCAGCACUUGGAGGGAUAUUACCCUUCUACCAACAAUUUACAAAGUGUUCAUGAAAUGCGUUCUUAGACGUAUCCUUCCCUGGCUGGUGGAUGCAAACAUCUUGUCCAAUAAGCAAAAAGGCCUAUAGAGGGGCAAGGGAUGAAUGAACAUGUGUUUUGUUUAAAAACGGCUAUAGAUGAUUUCAAACAUGAGAGUGCAAAAUUCAAUAACGUUUUUUUGACGCAUUCAGAACUCUCCCACGUAACAUCAUGAUAAGGGCUCUGGAGGAAAUACACCUGCCCCAAGUGUACCCAGAUAUAAUUAAAGACGUGUACAAAAGCUAAUUUAUCUGGAACCCAACUUUCUAUUCUUCCGUAAGAAAGUAAACGGCAAACUCAUGUCACCGGUUUUGGGUUAGAUCUGACUGGCCUGAUCUCAACAAUCUCUGCAACUGGACUGGUGUUGACGUGCAGUGGUCUGGAGUACAUACCACACACGUUACACCUUAUGGAAUAAUGAUUAAGGAUAAGAACAUCACUGUGACCGCAACAGCACUGGAAUACAGUCCGCGCUGCUCAGCCCCACCUGGAAACAGCCGAGCGUCCUUCAAACAUCAGCAGCUAUGAACAAUAACUAAAUAAGAAAUAGUAAUUUAUUGGGAAGUACUAUGUUAAUUUCUAGAUAGUAAAUAAUUAAACCUGGGCUGUUACCAACAUAAACCUUGGAGAACUACAAUUGUAACUUGAAUUGAUGGGUACAAGAAGAGUUGUUUCUAAGAAUUGGUUGCCUACUUUCCUGGGAUCUACACAAUUAUAUCUGAG
ensembl:lncRNA